AAUGCGUUUUGAGAUGGUCCUGCGGCCUAUCAGCUAGUUGGCAAGAUAAUGGCUUACCAAGGCUAUGACGGGUAUCUGUCCUGAAAGGGUGAACGGACACACUGGAACUGAGACACGGUCCAGACUCCUACGGGAGGCAGCAGUGGGGAAUUUUGGACAAUGGGGGAAACCCUGAUCCAGCGACGCCGCGUGGAGGAUGAAGGCUUUCGAGUUGUAAACUCCUUUUAGAGGGGAAGAAUCAAUGACGGUACCCUCAGAAAAAGCCACGGCUAACUACGUGCCAGCAGCCGCGGUAAUACGUAGGUGGCGAGCGUUACUCGGAAUUACUAGGCGUAAAGUGUACGUAGACGGUUGGGCAAGUCUCUAGUAAAAUUUUUCGUCUCAACCGAGAGAGGUCUAGAGAUACUGUUCGACUUGAGUUUGGGAGAGGGAGAUGGAAUUCCUGGUGUAGCGGUGAAAUGCGUAGAUAUCAGGAGGAACACCGAUGGCGAAGGCAAUCUCCUGGACCAAUACUGACGUUGAUGUACGAAAGCUAGGGGAGCAAACAGGAUUAGAUACCCUGGUAGUCCUAGCCGUAAAUGAUGUUCACUAGACGUGGGGGGUAUCGACCCCUUCUGCGUCGACGCUAACGCAUUAAGUGAAUCGCCUGGGGAGUACGACCGCAAGGUUGAAACUCAAAAGAAUUGACGGGGGCCCGCACAAGCGGUGGAGUAUGUGGUUUAAUUCGACGCAACGCGAAAAACCUUACCUGGGUUUGAACUGCUAAUAGUAAAAGCUGGAAACGGUGAUGAUCCGCAAGGAAGUUAGUAGAGGUGCUGCAUGGCUGUCGUCAGCUCGUGUCGUGAGAUGUUGGGUUAAGUCCCGCAACGAGCGCAACCCUUAUCCCAUGUUACCUGUAGUGAUACAGGGUAUCUGAGGAAACUGCCAUUGAUAAAAUGGAGGAAGGUGAGGACGACGUCAAGUCAUCAUGGUCUUUAUGUCCAGGGCUACACACGUACUACAAUGGCCGGUACAGAGGGUGGCAAUACCGUAAGGAGGAGCAAAUCCCUAAAGCCGGUCCCAGUUCGGAUUGUGGGCUGCAAUUCGCCCACAUGAAGUAGGAAUC
rnacentral:rRNA from 1 species